CCUACGGGUGGCAGCAGUGAGGAAUAUUGGUCAAUGGGCGCAAGCCUGAACCAGCCAAGUAGCGUGAAGGAUGACUGCCCUAUGGGUUGUAAACUUCUUUUAUAUGGGAAUAAAGUGCAGUACGUAUACUGCUUUGCAUGUACCUUAUGAAAAAGGAUCGGCUAACACCGUGUCAGCAGCCCCCGUAAUACGGAGGAACGGAGCGUUAACCGGAUUUAUUGGGUUUAAAGGGAGCGUAGGCGGGUUGUUAAGUCAGUUGUGAAAGUUUGCGGCUCAACCGUAAAAUUGCAGUUGAUACUGGCAUCCUUGAGUACAGUAGAGGUAGGCGGAAUGCGUGGUGUAGCGGUGAAAUGCUUAGAUAUCACGAAGAACUCCGAUUGCGAAGGCAGCCUGCUGGACUGUAACUGACGCUGAUGCUCGAAAGUGUGGGUAUCAAACAGGAUUAGAUACCCUUGUAGUC
rnacentral:rRNA from 1 species